UUGACCUCGGAUCAGGUAGGAAUACCCGCUGAACUUAAGCAUAUCAAUAAGCGGAGGAAAAGAAACCAACAGGGAUUGCCUCAGUAACGGCGAGUGAAGCGGCAACAGCUCAAAUUUGAAAUCUGGCCCCCCGGGUCCGAGUUGUAAUUUGCAGAGGAUGCUUUUGGCGCGGUGCCUUCCGAGUUCCCUGGAACGGGACGCCAUAGAGGGUGAGAGCCCCGUACGGUUGGACACCAAGCCUGUGUAAAGCUCCUUCGACGAGUCGAGUAGUUUGGGAAUGCUGCUCAAAAUGGGAGGUAUAUUUCUUCUAAAGCUAAAUACCGGCCAGAGACCGAUAGCGCACAAGUAGAGUGAUCGAAAGAUGAAAAGCACUUUGAAAAGAGGGUUAAACAGCACGUGAAAUUGUUAAAAGGGAAGCGCUUGUGACCAGACUUGCGCCCGGUGAAUCACCCAGCUCUCGCGGCUGGGGCACUUUGCCGGCUCAGGCCAGCAUCAGCUCGCCGUCGGGGACAAAAGCUUCGGGAACGUAGCUCUCUUCGGGGAGUGUUAUAGCCCGCUGCACAAUACCCUUCGGCGGGCUGAGGUACGCGCUCCGCAAGGAUGCUGGCGUAAUGGUCAUCAGCGACCCGUCUUGAAACACGGACCAAGGAGUCAACCUUAUGUGCGAGUGUUCGGGUGUCAAACCCCUACGCGAAAUGAAAGUGAACGCAGGUGAGAGCUUCGGCGCAUCAUCGACCGAUCCUGAUGUUCUCGGAUGGAUUUGAGUAAGAGCAUAUAGGGUUGGACCCGAAAGAAGGUGAACUAUGCGUGUAUAGGGUGAAGCCAGAGGAAACUCUGGUGGAGGCUCGCAGCGGUUCUGACGUGCAAAUCGAUCGUCAAAUAUGCGCAUGGGGGCGAAAGACUAAUCGAACCUUCUAGUAGCUGGUUUCCGCCGAAGUUUCCCUCAGGAUAGCAGUGUUGAACUCAGUUUUAUGAGGUAAAGCGAAUGAUUAGGGACUCGGGGGCGCUAUAUUGCCUUCAUCCAUUCUCAAACUUUAAAUAUGUAAGAAGCCCUUGUUACUUAGCUGAACGUGGGCAUUCGAAUGUAUCAACACUAGUGGGCCAUUUUUGGUAAGCAGAACUGGCGAUGCGGGAUGAACCGAACGCGAGGUUAAGGUGCCAGAGUAGACGCUCAUCAGACACCACAAAAGGUGUUAGUACAUCUUGACAGCAGGACGGUGGCCAUGGAAGUCGGAAUCCGCUAAGGACUGUGUAACAACUCACCUGCCGAAUGUACUAGCCCUGAAAAUGGAUGGCGCUCAAGCGUCUCACCCAUACCUCGCCCUCAGCGUAGAAACGAUGCGCUGAGGAGUAGGCGGACGUGGAGGUCAGUGACGAAGCCUAGGGC
rnacentral:rRNA from 1 species